UGUCAAAUAUAUUUUGUAAUUGCGUGUUACUUACCAAUUUGUGUGAAAAGUUUUAAUAAAUGUAUCUCAUGAACCUGUUAAAGUUUGGGCUAAAUUUUGUUUUCCUAAUGGUGAUUGGACAUCCAUUGAAUCAUUAAAAACAUUGAAUGCCCAGCAUAGGAUACUAUGUGAAAAUCAUUUGAAUGAAUCUUCAUUUACCAGCAGCGAUAGGAAAAGACUUAACAAGUUAGAUUAAGAGCGAAUACAGGAGGAUAUAGACCAAUUAAAAAACAAACAUUGUAGUCCAUAUAGAGCAAGUUAUGACAUCCAAGAACCAUCAACUAGCAAAGGUAUUUUGUAGGACUUGGACGUGAAAAAGUUCAGUGAACUUACACCUCAAAAGCAAACGCUGUCUAAGAGAUGCAGAAAAAAUCUAUCGGAAAUAGUGAGGCUCUGAAAAAAGUUUCAAGGUGAUAAAAACUCCAAAAGAUCUAUAUUAAGUGUACUAACAUCAAACGAACCUAGCAAUGAAAUAUUAAAAAGCACAUUAAAUAAUUCAUUUUCUUUACUAUUACAAAGCCAACUGAAAAACUUUAUAAGAAAAUUAACUGGAAUGAGAUGGACACUGGAUGAUAAAGUGAACGUCUUGAGCAUCUAUAAGAAAUCAAACUUUUGUUUUAUAUUAUUGAUUAGGUUAUUUUGAAAGAAAAUAUUUUUUUAACUGGAUUAUUAUACAUAAUUAUAAGUUUAUAAUAAUACAAAUAGUUUUAAUCCGGUAUAAAAAAUUGGUUUCUUUCAAUGUGUAAAAGCUAUGUUAACCAAAGACAAUACUAGGUUAUUUUGUCAGCUCUCUCAAGGCAUUAUUGAACAAAAUUCCAAUGGUAUGUGGAAUCAACAGCCCAGUAAUACAGACAGUAAAAGAAAUCACAAAAGACCAAGAUGUCAAUGAUAAUUUAUGUAAAAUGGCUUUUGAUGAAAUGUCAAUAAGAAAAAAUCUGACAUAUAACGUAAAACUCAAUGCUAAGGCCGUACUACUGUGAUAGCAAACCAUAGUCGAACUUUCAUGGUUAUUGGUGUUCGAAAAUGCUGGAAACAGCCAAUAGCAUUUUACUUCUCAGGAGAUUGUGACACAGCAGACAAGUCAGCAGCUCUUGUCGAGGAGGUACAGUAAAGUGGAGCCACAUAGAGGAGUUUUAUAAUAAAGAUCGCGAGAAUCCCAACCGUGUUUGCUCCAGCUUUAACCCAGCACCACUUACAACCAGUACAGAAUGGCAAACAGAAAAUCAAAGAGCGCCUAGCAGAUCAAAUUUUAAGCCAUUCGGUUGCAGUUGGAAUAUUUGCCAAAAUGAAUGAUGACAAGACGCCCCUGGAACAACUGUCGCUGGACAAGCUUUUCGACUGAACGGAGAUUCGACCGACAGGAAAGAGGUAUAAACACUUAUUAUAAUAAUACUUGACAUCUGUAAUUGUGGAUGUGAUCCAAACCCCACGUCGGUCCAAUUAAAAACUAGCUUAGGCAAUUAGUAGCAGCGUUUUUAAUACGCUGAAAUUAUUAUUCUUCGAAGACACUAAACCUAGCUGCG